rnacentral:lncRNA from 1 species
AAGGCUGAGAAAUUAUCUCCCAAGUCACUAGGAAUGCAUAGAUGUGUACUGUUUCUUUUUUUUUUUUUAGAUUUAUUCACAACUCUCUGACAAAAGAAAUUUACGAAGAUGAAAAAGUUUACACUCUUUGAUUUCACAAAUGACAACUCCCUACGUGAAGGAGAGACUUCAUGGAUACAGGACCUUCCCAGUGAUGACAGAGAAGUUGCAAGUCUACUAAAAGCAAAUGAAAAUGUGUUAGUAAGUUGGCCAGCAGAAGAGAAAAAGACAGAGAAACAGUUAGCAAAAGUAAUUUGCAUGAGUGAUGAUCCUCAAGAGUUGGUUCAGAUUAUUCAGAAGAUCUUAGAAGGAAAUGAAAAGACAGAAAUACAAGGGCUUCAAAAAGGAAAAAGAAAACAAAUUGAAACACUAAGCUCAAAGAAUGAAGAGAGGGAAAUUGAUCAAGAACAGGAACAGAUAACAAAGAGUACAAAAAGAAAAAAGUCCCUACAGGACUCUUCUCCUGCUAACAUACUGAAUCAACUGGAAACCCCUUUAAUGGACACACUGGUAAAUCCUUCAUCUUCAACAGUCUUCAGCAAUGAAAGUGAAAAAUCAGAAGCUAUUGUCCUGGGCAUAGAGCAUCAGGAACCCACUUAG